rnacentral:rRNA from 1 species
GACGAACGCUGGCGGCGUGCUUAACACAUGCAAGUCGAACGAAGUGGCGAACGGGUGAGUAACGCGUAAUAAAUCUGCACUUCAGAGGGGGACAACAGGUGGAAACGACUGCUUAUACGGCAUACUCACGGAGGGGAGUGCGUCUGAUUAGCUAGUUGGAGGGGGAACGGCCCAACAAGGGGAGGACCCGGAGCCGGUCUGAGAGGGUGAACGGCCACAUUGGGACUUAGGCACGGCCCAGACUCCUACGGGAGGCAGCAGUGGGGAAUCUUCCGCAAUGGGCGAAAGUCUGACGGAGCAACGCAGCGUGAGUUAUGACGGCCUUCGGGUUGUAAAGCUCUGUUAAUCGGGACGCGGUACCGGAAUAGAAAGCCACGGCUAACUACGUGCCAGCAGCCGCGGUAAUUC